rnacentral:rRNA from 1 species
AGAGUUUGAUUCUGGCUCAGGAUGAACGCUGGCGGCGUGCCCAACACAUGCAAGUCGAACGAGGUCUUUUAUCUUGGAGAUUCGUCAAAGAGAUUUCUGACCGAGUGGCGGAUGGGUGAGUAACGCGUGGAGAACCUGCCCUUAUCAGGGGGAUAACAACUGGAAACGGUUGACAAUACCGCAUACGCUCUAAUGAUCGCAUGAUCGUGAGAGGAAAGAUUUAUCGGAUAAGGAUGGCUCCGCGUCGGAUUAGCCAGUUGGCGGGGUAACGGCCCACCAAAGCGACGAUCCGUAGCCGGCCUGAGAGGGCGACCGGCCACAUUGGGACUGAGACACGGCCCAGACUCCUACGGGAGGCAGCAGUGGGGGAUAUUGCACAAUGGGGGGAACCCUGAUGCAGCGACGCCGCGUGGAGGAAGAAGUAUUUCGGUAUGUAAACUCCUAUCAGCAGGGAAGAAAAUGACGGUACCUGACUAAGAAGCCCCGGCUAACUACGUGCCAGCAGCAGC